GGCUCAGUGGUCUAGUCGUAUGAUUCCCGCUUCGGAGCACCGAAGCUUCAGAUGAUCACAUCUUGAUUGCGGGAGGUCCCGGGUUCAAAUCCCGGCUGAGCCC
rnacentral:tRNA from 1 species